ensembl:misc_RNA Metazoa_SRP Metazoan signal recognition particle RNA
GCUGGACAUGGUGGCAUGUACCUGUAGUCCCAGAUACUUGAGACCUUAGGCAGGAGGACUGCUUGAGCCCAGAACUUCUGGGCUGUAGUGAGCUAUGCUCAUUGGGUGUCUACACAAAACUGGCAUUGAUAUCAUGACCUCCCAGGAGUGAGGCCCACUAGGUUGCCUAAGGAGAGGUGAACUGGCCCAGGUCAGAAAUGAAGUAGGUCAAAAUUUCUAUGCUAAUUAGUAGUGGGAUCUCUCCUAUGAAUAGCCACUGCACUCCAGCCUGGGCAUGUUAGCAAGACCCCAUCUCUA